GUGUGAACAUGAGCUGACCUGAUCCCCAAAGCUCUUCGAUGAAGGAGAAGAGGCAGGUGUUGGCUUGGAGGCCAUGUAUUCAUGGCAGCUGGUCCCGGCACUUGGGUCCGCAGAGCUGCUGCAGGUUAAAGUUCAGCAUGGCUGCUAAUCGGGGACCAAGCUCCUAGGAAAUGAAGGAUAACAGGACGGUCAAGGCCCAGAAGCUCCCACCGGAGUGGAGGCCUGGGAAUAGGCUGUUCAGUCUUCAAAGCACCCCUGAAUUGUGCUGAGCUGUAGCACAAGCUAAAGAAAGCAUUGGAAUCAAACAUUUUCCCCACCAUUGAUCUGAAAACUCCUACAAUGGAGCUGUCUGAGUGAAUCGAGAUGAAUGCCCACAGAAGUCUUCUGGAAAGAGACUUUCUCUUAGAAUAUCACUCCAAAGUCACAGAGAAGCAGGGAGAGGACAGAGGCCCUCGCUGUCCUGUCACUGCGGCUGGGAAGCCUCACAUUUCCCCAUAAACUUCUCAAGUCCCCAACAGUCAAGCACAUGUUGUUCUAAUCUACUUACUGAAGAGAGAGAAGACGGUGACAUUUGUUAACAUCGUAAGUCUUGUUACUGUGAUGAAUUAAACUGACAGGAUAUUAAGAACAAAUAGCCCUCAAGAGUCGGUAGGCCAACAGUACACCCUACAGCUGGGACAGACAUGGCUUCUGAGCUCAGAGACAGCUGCUGUAAACCAGACAUUAAAUACUGACCACC
rnacentral:lncRNA from 1 species